UUUCAGCUCUCCGUCCGCGGCGUCGAGUCGCCGGCAUCACGCCGGCGGACGAGAGGGAAUCCGGUUCGAAUCCGGAGCUGUCCCCGCAGCGGUAUGCCGUAACGACCACCGUCAUCAGCACUGAGCUCCGGCUUGGGAAGCGACGGUCAGUAGGAACUUCGAUCAGAGGGAUCUCGAUCGAGAGCGACGGUGAGCCCGAAGACCUGCCAGGUGUACCGGACGCGCC
rnacentral:ncRNA from 17 species